AGUGAACGCUGGCGGUAGGCCUAACACAUGCAAGUCGAACGGCAGCACAGUAAGAGCUUGCUCUUACGGGUGGCGAGUGGCGGACGGGUGAGGAAUACAUCGGAAUCUACUUUUUCGUGGGUGAUAACGUAGGGAAACUUACGCUAAUACCGCAUACGACCUACGGGUGAAAGCAGGGGAUCUUCGGACCUUGCGCGAUUGAAUGAGCCGAUGUCGGAUUAGCUAGUUGGCGGGGUAAAGGCCCACCAAGGCGACGAUCCGUAGCUGGUCUGAGAGGAUGAUCGGCCACACUGGAACUGAGACACGGUCCAGACUCCUACGGGAGGCAGCAGUGGGGAAUAUCGGACAAUGGGCGCAAGCCUGAUCCAGCCAUACCGCGUGGGUGAAGAAGGCCUUCGGGUUGUAAAGCCCUUUUGUUGGGAAAGAAAAGCAGCAGGUUAAUACCCCGCUGUUCUGACGGUACCCAAAGAAUAAGCACCGGCUAACUUCGUG
rnacentral:rRNA from 1 species